rnacentral:rRNA from 1 species
AGUGAACGCUGGCGGUAGGCCUAACACAUGCAAGUCGAACGGCAGCACAGUAAGAGCUUGCUCUUACGGGUGGCGAGUGGCGGACGGGUGAGGAAUACAUCGGAAUCUACUUUUUCGGGGGGGAUAACGUAGGGAAACUUACGCUAAUACCGCAUACGACCUACGGGUGAAAGCAGGGGAACUUCGGACCUUGCGCGAUUGAAUGAGCCGAUGUCGGAUUAGCUAGUUGGCGGGGUAAAGGCCCACCAAGGCGACGAUCCGUAGCUGGUCUGAGAGGAUGUUCGGCCAAACUGGAACGGGGAAACGGUCCAGACUCCUACGGGAGGCAGCAGUGGGGAAUAUUGGACAAUGGGCGCAAGCCUGAUCCAGCCAUACCGCGUGGGUGAAGAAGGCCUUCGGGUUGUAAAGCCCUUUUGUUGGGAAAGAAAAGCAGCAGGUUAAUACCCCGAUGUUCUGACGGUACCCAAAGAAUAAGCACCGGCUAACUUCGUG